GACGAACGCUGGCGGCGUGCUUAACACAUGCAAGUCGAGCGGAGCGGGGAAAGGGUGAGUAACGCGUGAGUAACCGCCCCCCUCCCUGGGAUAAAAGGUGGAAACGGCUGCUAAUAACGGAUAGUGGGGGAUGACUCGCGUCCUAUCAGCUUGUUGGUGGGGGAGGGGCCUACCAAGGCGACGACGGGUAGCCGGCCUGAGAGGGCGACCGGCCACAUUGGGCUGAGAUACGGCCCAAACUCCUACGGGAGGCAGCAGUGGGGAAUAUUGCACAAUGGGGGAAACCCUGAUGCAGCAACGCGCGUGCGGGAUGACGGCCUUCGGGUUGUAAACCGCUUUCAGCCAUGACGCGGUAGUGGCAGAAGAAGCACCGGCUAACUCCGUGCCAGCAGCCGCGGUAAUUC
rnacentral:rRNA from 1 species